UCAAUCUCAAGGACUGCGUAUUAAUAUCGAGUUCGAAUAAUUAUUAAAUUAAAGAAAAACUAGUGUUGGGGGGUUUUAGAUUCAAAUUUAUAAAAAUAAUGACAAAUAAAAUAAAUAAUGCUGUAAAAAGGGUUUUCAAGGUAAAAGAACAUGCCAGGGAAGGUGUGUAAUUUGUCCCUGUAACAACUCUGUGUCACUAUUGCAUCAACAAAUAUCAAUUAAUUACUACCAGUUCUCAAAGGUAUUUUCUCCCAAGGCCUUGGUGAGAAAAUG
rnacentral:lncRNA from 1 species